rnacentral:rRNA from 1 species
UACGUAGGUGGCAAGCGUUAUCCGGAUUUACUGGGUGUAAAGGGCGCGUAGGCGGGGAUGCAAGUCAGAUGUGAAAUCUAUGGGCUUAACUCAUAAACUGCAUUUGAAACUGUAUUUCUUGAGUGCUGGAGAGGUAGAUGGAAUUCCUUGUGUAGCGGUGAAAUGCGUAGAUAUAAGGAAGAACACCAGUGGCGAAGGCGAUCUACUGGACAGUAACUGACGCUGAGGCGCGAAAGCGUGGGGAGCAAACA